UACGUAGGGCGCAAGCGUUAUCCGGAAUUAUUGGGCGUAAAGAGCUCGUAGGCGGUUUGUCGCGUCUGCCGUGAAAGUCCGGGGCUCAACUCCGGAUCUGCGGUGGGUACGGGCAGACUAGAGUGAUGUAGGGGAGACUGGAAUUCCUGGUGUAGCGGUGAAAUGCGCAGAUAUCAGGAAGAACACCAGUGGCGAAGGCGGUUCUCUGGGACGGUACUGACGCUGAGACGCGAAAGCGUGGGGAGCGAACAGG
rnacentral:rRNA from 1 species